GACGAACGCUGGCGGCGUGCUUAACACAUGCAAGUCGAACGGAAAGGCCUGCUUUCCCUUGUGGAUUGCGGGUACUCGAGUGGCGAACGGGUGAGUAACACGUGAGUGAUCUGCCCCCAACUUGGGUAUAAGCCUGGGAAACUGGGUCUAAUUCCCGAUAGGACUGCAGGGUGGUGCCUGUGGUGGAAAACGAUUUUCUAGUGGUUGGGGAUGAGCUCGCGGCCUAUCAGCUUGUUGGUGGGGUAAUGGCCUACCAAGGCGGCGACGGGUAGCCGGCCUGAGAGGGUGGACGGCCACAUUGGGACGGGGAUACGGCCCAGACUCCUACGGGAGGCAGCAGUGGGGAAUAUUGCACAAUGGGCGGAAGCCUGAUGCAGCGACGCCGCGUGGGGGAUGACGGCCUUCGGGUUGUAAACUCCUUUCGACCGCGAGGAAGCCACCUGGUUGGAAGGGUGGUGACGGUAGUGGUAGAAGAAGCACCGGCUAACUACGUG
rnacentral:rRNA from 1 species